GAGGCAGAGAAUCCCAGUGGAGAGAGGGGAACCAGCCAGGCAGAGACAGCAAGGGUGGUUUGUUGCUCCAGUGCUUUUCAGUUCACCUUCACACUCCUGGACCAGACUAUAAUCAAUCAAAGGACCUACUGAAGAGAUGAGUCUUCAAUAAAGACUUGGAGUUUGAGACCGAGUUUCCGUCUCUCACAUGGAUAAGAUCUAAACCAGGCCAGAACUUGUCCGUGUAGACCAAUUUGGGUUUCCAAUCUCUCCAAAAGAAUGUGGUGAUCGAUGGUAUCAAAAGCAGCACUAAGGUCUAGGAGCACGAGGACAGAUGCAGACGCCAUUAAAAGGUCCUGGCAGAGUUGUGCAGACUCAGGACAACUGAGCUUUGGAGGAAUAUGCAGUUUUAAAGAGGCGUCCGUAAUUUGCUUUCUAAUAAUCAUGAUAUUUUCCUCAAAGAAGUUCAUACAUUUUUUACUGCUGAAGUGAAAGCCAUCCUCUCUUCGGGAAUGCUACUUUUUAGUUAGCUUUGCGACAGUAUCAACAUUUUUUGGGGGAUUGUUCUUAUUUUCCUCAAUUAAGUUGGAAAAAUAGGAUGGUCGACCAGCAGUAAGGGCUCUUCGGUACUGCACGGUCCUGUCUUUCCAAGCAAGAAGACUUCUAGUUUGGUGUGGCGCCAUUUCCGUUCCAAUUUUCUGGAAACUUGCUUCAGAGCUCUGUAUUUUCCGUAUACCAGGGAACUAGUUUCUUAUUACAAAUGUUUUUAGUUUUAAGGGGUGCAACUGCAUCUAGGGUAUUGCACAAGGUUAAAUUGAGUUCCUCAGUUAGGUGGUUAACUGAUUUUUGUUCUCUGACGUCCUUGGUUAGGCAGAGGGGGUCUGGAAGAGCAUCAAGGAAACUUGAUGUUCUUUGGUUGGAGUCUGAGCAGAUUAUUUGUUGCGUUUACAAACGUAGUAAAAUGGUGGUCCGAUAGUCCAGGAUUAUGAGGAAAAACAUUAAGAUCCACAACAUUUAUUCCAUGGGACACAAUUAGGUGCAGAGUAUGACUGUGGCAGUGAGUAGGUCUGGAGACAUGUUGGACAAAACCCACUUAGUCGAUGAUGGCUCUGAAAGCCUUUUGGAGUGGGUCUGUGGACUUUUCCAUGUGAAUAUUAAAGCCACCAAAAAUUUGAAUAUUAUCUGCUAUGACUACAAGGUCUGAUGGGAACUCAGUGAGGAACGCUGUAUAUGGCCCAGGAGGCCUGUAAACAGUAGCUAUAAAAAGUGAUUGAGUAGGCCGCAUAGAUUUCAAGACUAGAAGCUGAAAAGACGAAAACGUCUGCUUUUUUUUUUUGUAAAUUGAAAUUUGCUAUAGUAAAUGUUAGCAACACCUCCGCCUUUGCGGGAUGCGCAAAAUUACAUUUGAUUAAUCCUGCCUUGCAUCACUCAUAAACACCAGUUUGAUCAUGGCCGCUACUCAGUGUGAGGAUGUGGGGUUCUAAAUGCCUUAUAAAGCGUCCAUGUAAAAUGGUAUUGUUGUAUUCAUUGACGAUGAGGGUUAUUUGUGUGUUUAUUCAGGGAACUCUUAUAUAGUGUCUCAAAUGGCACCCUAUUCCCCAUGCACCCUGGUUAAAAGUAGUGCAUUGAAUAGGGUGACAUUUGGGACAAAGCCACAAUGUGUGUAUAUUCAACUAUGUGCUGCAGCACCUUUAUCCAGUGUUGGCCUGAAGGUGUAUUGUGUUGGUCACACGAAAGCAAAAACAAUGUACCUGAAUAUGUAUAAAUGUGCUACAAUGUAUUUUUUAUCCACAACCAAAAUGGCUAAUUUCAUGUGUAACAAUAUAUAUAUACGUGUAUGAUUAUAAAUAUUCCUUCAAAAUGUGGGAUUUUCUCAAAAUAAUUGUAAUCCUCUUUGUAUCAUUUAAUAUAAAUGCAAUUCAUAUAACAUUCCAAGAAAUGGUAGUGUCUUAGGUCUAUUCUCUCUCUCUCUCUCUGUCUCUCUCUCUGUCGUAAAAGUCACUUUCACAAGAACAGAAAAGUGAAAUGAAAAUGUUAGAUUUGCAUUUCACUGCUCAAUUAGUUAUUAUUAGCCUGACUUUUACUUCUCUUUUUUUAAUUAUUUUUUUUACUUGAUCUAUUCUAACAAGAUUGAACUAAAAUACUAUGAUGGGCCUUGUUCUUCUGCAAAUGUUAAAAUCCUCUCCAAAAUGGACUUAAGAGAAAAAAUAGAAAAUAACAUUGAACUUAACAACCUACUGUAUGUACAUUCAGUGUGUGAGACAUAUACACAAUGUAAAUGCAGAGGCAUUGAGUGAGAUGUACUAGGUGCAGCUGCCUGUUCCUACCUGUCCUGUACAAAUUUCAUUGAUUAAUCAGCAUAGUGGGUUGUAUUAAAAAGUGUCUCCUUCAGGGUUGUGCCACUUAAAAUGAGUGGUGCCACUUCAAAUGGAAGGUGUGGUUUUAUUGGAGCUCAUAUAACUUUUAUAGUAACUGAAACUGUAUUUCUG
ensembl:lncRNA